GUAAGAAGAUCCGUUGGUUGGAAAUCCGUAUCAAUUGUUACUGGUUCUCCCGUUCUUGGUACUGUGUCAUCGCCUAUGGAAUCUAUUGGCUCGGCUGAACCGACAUGAAAUGAAAGAGAGGAAGGCGGAAGCUAUUGGCAAAUAGAGGGGGGAUGUUCUCCGUGUCUUUUAGCCCUCACUAGAUGACAACUUGGGGAGCAUGAUCUGCAAGCAAUUACUCUGGAUGCUGAUCCUGCAGAGCAGACACCUCCAGCUGUUCAAGAACUGCUACAGGAGUUUGAUGCUUUGUUCUGGGAGCCAAAGGAAUUACCCCCUCGUCGGGGCUGCCCCCUCUUCCCCUCGCUCUCCUUUCCUUAAUAUUCACCGUCGAGUCAUCAAAGCGG
rnacentral:lncRNA from 1 species